rnacentral:lncRNA from 1 species
AUAUAUAUAUAUAUAUACAUAUAUAUAUAUGAAUCUUCGAGAAGGAAUACAUAGUCAGAACAUCGAUGGAAGAUAAUCUUUACAGCUUACGACUUUUUAUUUGAUAAGUAGCUCGUGAACUUGUUAGAGACUAAAUGUAGAGAAGCAAAGCUUGUUUCUGAAUUUUAGAACCCAUUUGCAUUAUAACAUGAAAUUCUUAAUUAAUUCUUGAUGAUAUAAUGUGCAGGCAGGGGCCGAGUCACACUUGGGCUGUGGUGGACGGUAGCCCGGGUAAAUCUGCCGCAAACCAUCCCACCUGUUCCUACGUCCGGGCGACACCCGCCGACGUGAUGCGGUGAAGGAGUAUCACUAAUCACGUCUUGAUCUGAUAAAUGGAGAGAGACAGAGAGUUUAUGAGCUUAUACCUAAAAUAUUAUCAGAUUACUAAAUUACUUUGUUCUUUCCAUAAACAAAGAAUUAACCUAAACUCUUUAGAAACUGAAAUUGAAGGAGAAUAAUUCUUUACGAAUUGAGGUUAGCAAACUGAAUUGGAGAAGAAAUUGGAGCAAGGAAUUGUCACGAAAAGGAAGUAAAAACAAAUUUGAAUCAAGAAUGCAAGGGAUUGCAUCAAUUAAACUUCAAAUUGAGAGGUAAGCCAUGUGUUUAUGUAAGUUCAUAGAAAUUGAAAAUAUACAUAUGAAUGUUGAUAUAAUUGCUAUGCAUGGGUUGUGAAUUAAUGUAAGAGGAAUAUUGUUUAUGUUAUAUGGAGUAAUAAGGAAGGAUUCCAUGAAAUUUUUUGGUUAGAACCCUUCUAAAGUCUUAUGAAAUUUUGGAAUCUAAGUGUUGUAGACAUGAUGUUUGAAAAUUUACCUCAAAGAGGUUAAAAUGUGUAAAAUUGAGAAUUAGUAGGCUAGGAAGUAUGCAUAUAUGUAUUAGAAGAUAACCUAAGUUAUUUGUUCUGCAAAGGUACUCUUUGAUCUAUCUCUUGGUAGUCCUGGACAGGAAAACAAUCUUAACUCCGCCCUUGUGUGCGGGAAAUAGGUUACGUAAAGUUUGUAAUUUAUACUUGUCAACAUUCAACUCAUAAGAAGCAAAAAUUGG